rfam:Myotis lucifugus cont2.22174, whole genome shotgun sequence.
GGUGGGUCUCAGGUGACAUGCCCUGGAAUCAAGCUCCCUCCUCUCUGGUUCCGGGUGCAUCACCCGAGAGCAGCC